UACGUAGGUGGCAAGCGUUAUCCGGAAUUACUGGGCGUAAAGCGCACGCAGGUGGCUGCUUAAGUCUGACGUGAAAGCUCCUGGCUUAACUGGGAGAGGUCGUUGGAGACUGGGCGGCUUGAGGCGAGGAGAGGGGUGUAGAAUUCCCGGUGUAGUGGUGGAAUGCGUAGAUAUCGGGAGGAAUACCAGUGGCGAAAGCGGCACCCUGGCCUUGGCCUGACGCUCAGGUGCGAAAGCGUGGGGAGCGAACGGGAUUAGAUACCCCGGUAGUCCACGCGGUAAACGAUGAAUACUAGGUGUAGGUGGUCUCAAAACUAUCUGUACCGCAGCUAACGCGAUAAGUAUUCCGCCUGGGGAGUACGACCGCAAGGUUAAA
rnacentral:rRNA from 1 species